UACGUAGGGUGCAAGCGUUAAUCGGAAUUACUGGGCGUAAAGCGUGCGCAGGCGGUUGUGCAAGACAGAUGUGAAAUCCCCGGGCUUAACCUGGGAACUGCAUUUGUGACUGCACGGCUAGGGUGUGUCAGAGUGGAAUUCCACGUGUAGCGGUGAAAUGCGUAGAGAUGUGGAGGAACACCAGUGGCGAAGGCGACUCUUUGGCCUAUAACUGACGCUGAGGCGCGAAAGCGUGGGGAGCAAACAGG
rnacentral:misc_RNA from 1 species